CGUGUGCUUACAAGUAGUCAGAGCCCGUUAAUGGGUGAUGGCGUGCCUUUUGUAGAAUGAACCGGCGAGUUACGAUUUGAUGCAAGGUUAAGCAGUAAAUGUGGAGCCGUAGCGAAAGCGAGUCUGAAUAGGGCGUUUAGUAUUUGGUCGUAGACCCGAAACCAGGUGAUCUACCCUUGGUCAGGUUGAAGUUCAGGUAACACUGAAUGGAGGACCGAACCGACUUACGUUGAAAAGUGAGCGGAUGAACUGAGGGUAGCGGAGAAAUUCCAAUCGAACCUGGAGAUAGCUGGUUCUCUCCGAAAUAGCUUUAGGGCUAGCCUCAAGUGAUGAUUAUUGGAGGUAGAGCACUGUUUGGACGAGGGGCCCCUCUCGGGUUACCGAAUUCAGACAAACUCCGAAUGCCAAUUAAUUUAACUUGGGAGUCAGAACAUGGGUGAUAAGGUCCGUGUUCGAAAGGGAAACAGCCCAGACCACCAGCUAAGGUCCCAAAAUAUAUGUUAAGUGGAAAAGGAUGUGGCGUUGCCCAGACAACUAGGAUGUUGGCUUAGAAGCAGCCAUCAUUUAAAGAGUGCGUAAUAGCUCACUAGUCGAGUGACACUGCGCCGAAAAUGUACCGGGGCUAAACAUAUUACCGAAGCUGUGGAUUGUCCUUUGGACAAUGGUAGGAGAGCGUUCUAAGGGCGUUGAAGCAUGAUCGUAAGGACAUGUGGAGCGCUUAGAAGUGAGAAUGCCGGUGUGAGUAGCGAAAGACGGGUGAGAAUCCCGUCCACCGAUUGACUAAGGUUUCCAGAGGAAGGCUCGUCCGCUCUGGGUUAGUCGGGUCCUAAGCUGAGGCCGACAGGCGUAGGCGAUGGAUAACAGGUUGAUAUUCCUGUACCACCUAUAAUCGUUUUAAUCGAUGGGGGGACGCAGUAGGAUAGGCGAAGCGUG
rnacentral:rRNA from 1 species